CCCUUAGAUGUCCUGGGCCGCACGCGCGUUACACUGAUGCAUUCAACGAGCUUAUAACCUUGGCCGAGUGGCCUGGGCAAUCUUGUUAACGUGCAUCGUGAUAGGGAUAGAUUAUUGAAAUUAUUAAUCUUGAACGAGGAAUUCCUAGUAAACGCAGAUCAUCAAUCUGCAUUGAUUACGUCCCUGCCCUUUGUACACACCGCCCGUCGCACCUACCGAUUGGAUGGUCCGGUGAAGCCUCGGGAUUGUGGUUCUUGCCGCUUUAUUGUGGCGUGACCGCGAGAACUUGUCUAAACCUUAUCAUCUAGAGGAAGGUGAAGUCGUAACA
rnacentral:rRNA from 1 species